UACGGAGGGUGCGAGCGUUGUCCGGAAUCACUGGGCGUAAAGGGCGCGUAGGCGGCCUGAUAAGUAGGGGGUGAAAUCCUGCGGCUUAACCGCAGGGCUGCCUUCUAAACUGUCAGGCUAGAGCACAGUAGAGGCAGGUGGAAUUCCCGGUGUAGCGGUGGAAUGCGCAGAUAUCGGGAGGAACACCGGUGGCGAAGGCGGUUCUCUGGGCCUUACCUGACGCUGAGGAGCGAAAGCGUGGGGAGCGAACAGG
rnacentral:rRNA from 1 species